rnacentral:sRNA from 1 species
AAAAUGGCGCUUGGUGCAAGUCCCGCCCCUUCUCACGCCUCCGCACUUCGCCGCCUCCCACGCCCCCUCCGACCAACCUGUCUCCCCUCGCCCGAGCGGCUGCUAGCUACGGGGUUCUAGCGGCUUGCUGGGGCCGCGCGACCCCUUCCCUGGUCUUGUUCUUGUCACCUUCCUGUUAUACCGAAGUCGUGUGCUCUUCAGUCCUGGUUCAAUUUCACCUCGUUUUUUUCUCAUCUUCCCCUCAAUCAGCAAGGGCUGAAGAUUUCGUUUCUCUUUUUAAAGUUGCGUUUUGUAUAAAUUCUACAAUAGCGGUUUCAGUAUCAGUUACUUGAAUUACAAGCUGCUUCUCCCCCCACCCCCACAUUGGAACAGGCUCAUUAAGGAUGCCUAAAUCAAAGGAACUUGUUUCUUCAAGCUCUUCUGGCAGUGAUUCUGACAGUGAGGUUGACAAAAAGUUAAAGAGGAAAAAGCAAGUUGCUCCAGAAAAACCUGUAAAGAAGCAAAAGACAGGUGAAACUUCGAGAGCUCUGUCAUCUUCUAAACAGAGCAGCAGCAGCAGAGAUGAUAACAUGUUUCAG